rnacentral:tRNA from 2 species
AGAAUUCUAGUUAAAUUAUAACAUAUGCUUGUCAAGCAUAAAUUGCUUUAUUAGCGAAUCCUA